UACGUAGGGGGCAAGCGUUGUCCGGAAUCAUUGGGCGUAAAGUGCGUGUAGGCGGCUGGCUAAGUCCGCUCUGAAAGCCCGGGGCUCAACCCCGGGAGGCGGGUGGAUACUGGUCAGCUCGAGUCCGGAAGAGGAGUGUGGAAUUCCUGGUGUAGCGGUGAAAUGCGCAGAUAUCAGGAGGAACACCAAUGGCGAAGGCAGCACUCUGGGACGGUACUGACGCUGAGGAGCGAAAGCCAGGGAGCAAACGGG
rnacentral:rRNA from 1 species